rnacentral:rRNA from 1 species
UACGAAGGGAGCUAGCGUUGUUCGGAAUCACUGGGCGUAAAGCGCACGUAGGCGGACGUGUCAGUCAGGGGUGAAAUCCCGGAGCUCAACUUCGGAACUGCCUUUGAUACAGCACGUCUUGAGUCCGGAAGAGGUGGGUGGAAUUCCUAGUGUAGAGGUGAAAUUCGUAGAUAUUAGGAAGAACACCGGUGGCGAAGGCGGCCCACUGGUCCGGUACUGACGCUGAGGUGCGAAGCGUGGG